rnacentral:lncRNA from 1 species
AUCAACAGCAAUUUUAAGUUUAUUUAUUACUAAAGGCAAAAAACAACUAAAAAUAUAGACUAGAUUCGACAAAAUGCUCAUGAAUGUAAACCUCAAAUAUAUAAACUGAACAACUUGAUUACUUCAUUAACUAUUAUAGCUUUCAAAUUUACUAACACACUCAUUUAAUAUCCCAAACAACCCUAUGACUGAUUGAAAUUAAAAUAACUACUGGAAACCUUUACUAAUCAUGACUUGGUUCUACCAUCCUACAACGAAAAUAACUAACUCAUGUCUAACUAAUAACACUCACACAAAUCGGAGAAAAAUAGUCUCACACAGUCCAAUAUGAAUCAAACAGUCCAAACAAUUUAGAAGUAAUCCUAAUUAAAGUCCAAAUCAUUACAGUCGACUAUAAUGAAAACAUCGCAACAAUUGGAGCUUCCAUUAGAAUUAUGCUUCCAUUUCAUUUCAUUUCAGCUGAAGAUCUACAUGAUUCUAAGAUUCAGGAUAGGUACCCGGGUGUUAAAUCACAGUAAGAAGAAGGUAAGAAGAAGCAGCAACAGAGGUUAUAUAACAGCUCAAAUUAGAGUUCACAGCUUCAACAAACAAUAUCAAUACUAAUCUAGAAUUGCAUUCCGAGAGGGACAGUAUCAAUAAUAAACCAAAUGAACUUGAAGAAAACCCAGACAAACUCAGAACUAGACCAGGACCACUUCUGAAAUCAACAGCUAAUAAAAACAGCCUGAAACAGUCUCACUAGAACCCAAACCCACUCGAGAUGCACUCAGGAAUCUCCAGAAAAUUUCAGUAACCAAACUAUAGACUAAAUGUUGCAAAUCAAAUACCGAAAUUCAAAAUCAACCUGAAAACUUUCAAUAGAACUGUUUUUUUGAUUUUCUGUAGUUUCUGUUUUUGUAUUUUUGUUUUCUGUUGGGAUGAACUAAGAUCUAAAGAGCUUUGAAUUUUGAAUUCAAAUUUAAGAUCUGCUGAAAUUAUAUAGACUAUUUUUUGGGCGGAAAUUUAGAGAGUGAAAAACUUGUUGCCUAAGGCACUAUUCAUGCCCUUUUAUAGGCAAAGAUGAUGACUCUAUCAGAUUCUGUAGUUUUUUAACCUAGUCCCUCUUUAUUUUCAGAUUAGUCCUCUAUUUUUUAACUUGCUUCUCAGGUUAACACACUCAUCUUCUGAAAUUUACCUUAACACCCACCUCUAGAAGCUUCUAGGAAGUUCUUGAUAGAUUCCCUACCCUUGAGUACCUAUACCCUUGACUUGGUCCUGAUAUUACUAACCAACCUCCAGCCCUGUUAACUAACCAAACAUCUUGUCUAACUAACUGUAGUUAAACCAGCAUUUCUGAAAAUCGAACAGCUAAAAACCAAACAAAUCCUAAGAGUUGAACUAACAAGGAGAUUAAUUCUAAAAUCAGUAAAUAACCAAGUAAAACAACACUGAAAAUUGAUCUAACCACCAACCAAACAGAGCUUAAACAAAAAUUAAUCUAACUAAUCUAAUUAGCUGACAUUUAAUUCUAAACAAAUAACAAUUACCUAGUAUAGUCCCACAAAGUGGAGUCUGGGGUAAUAUGUAGAUGAGCCUUACCCCUACCCGAAAGGGCAGAGAGGCUGUUUCCAAUAAACUCUAAACAAAUAGAAAUCUCAAAUGUCGUAAAGCUAACACAACAAUGAACUAAUUAAAAUCAAACAUAGCCAAAAAUGAAACCAACUAUGAAGACUAAACGGCCAGAAAUCAAAAAAUGCAAAGCGACAGUUAAACAUGGAACCCUACUAUGGAAUCAAACUGGCAAAUUACUAAAACAAACUAACUAUAUAGUAAAGAAAGAUCAGAACCCUCAAUUGAAAUCCUAAUUCACCACAACGAUAACAAACUUUGAAUAAAAACAAAACGAUAAUAAUAAAAAGCAACUGAAAACAUAGAAGAAAGGUCAAACUCACUGAUUUGAGCCUUCGACUUGACUGAACUUGGAAUUGAUCUUCAAAUGAUAUUAUGUGUUUGUUCUUACCAAGAACAAACACAUAACAUGAUUUUAAAAUCAUUCGAACACCGACUGACACUGAAAAUUCAAGCAACCUUGACAGCAAACCCUAGAUUUGGGAUUCGAAACUUUUUAGUCGGAUUGGGGAAAAUAGCUUGGUGAUUUGGACGUAUGAGAGUUAAGAGAGUAUGGGGUGUGAAUUUGGUAGAUUUUGGAUGAACUUGUAUUUUGGACCGGACCUUUGAUUUAAUAUUCGAAACGUUAGGUUGUGAUUUGAGGAAAACUAUGGCCAGAUUCGAGAUGAGGGAGAAAAGGAGAUUCUAGGGUGUUAUUUUGGUGGGUGUUGGCGUCGGCGCCGCCACCGGAGACGGUGGGGAAUUAGUGGAGGCUCAAUUAGGGUUCUUGUGAAGAGGGUCUGUGAGGGAGACGAUUCGGGGGUAUGGGGGUUUCAGACACUAAUAUAUGAAGGU